UUUUUGCUUGGGUUCUAGGGAAACAAUAUCUUGGAAUUUUGAAAAUUGCUCUUUGUUAAAUCAGGUAUUAAACAUUACUAGAAAUUUUAACUCACAAGGUUUGUACAAAUUUAUUAGGCUGCUCAACACCAUGGCUUGCAUGUACGUAGUCUCCAGUUUGAAGAUGCUCAGCAGAAAGUAGUAACAAAUAGGCAUGUACAAAACACUUCAGGUAUUGAAAAUAGUUCUAGGCCACUUGCCUCUUCUGCAGAUAGAGGGGGCCCCAAAUCACUAUCCUUGGAGACACCAUCAACUCCCAUUCGUCGGGUUGGUAUGACCCAGCAUACGGAUUAUCCUGGAAAUAGUGGGAAUUAUAGCAUAAAUUUUCCAAAGCCCGUAGGUAUUGGCUUGCACCUAAAUAGCAUUGUCAGCACUACGCAAGCAGGAACUGGAGAAACUGUAAUUGUGAAAUCAUCUGAAAAGGGUAUUUUAAGUAUACGGAAUGAGCAACAAGUGACUACUCUGAGCUCUCAUCUAUCUGAAAACUCAAAGAACUCUUCAUAUUUGUCUGUGUUGGAGAGUGUUCUCGGAAGUCCUGAUGAAAGUAGGCGUGAAAGUGAUCAUGCCUUGGUGGCAGCUAAUUCUGCUAUUUCUGUGUCCACUUAUGACGCAAAACCUUUGGACAACCCUAUGGUCUGUAAUCCAAUUGAGGAUCAAUCAACUCCAGUUAACAAGAGGAAGUCUAACGCUGGAAAUGCUGAUGAUGCAGAGGAGUUUAACAAGUCAAGCCCCAAAAGGAAGAGGCAAGCCUACAACUUAUCUUAUGAAUAAUGAGUUUUAUUAGUUGUCUCCAUUUUUACUACAUUAUUUUAGCUGCAAUUUUUCCAGGAAGAAAACACCCGAGUCCAAUGAUGAUUACAGUAGCAAACUUUGCAACUGCAAGAAGUCUAAAUGCUUGAAGCUGUAAGCGCAUAAAAUGUUUUCUUACAAAUUUAGAUUUACACUUCUAUCACGUGCUUUUGUAAUUUGUUUCCUUGUAGUUACUGUGAUUGCUUUGCUGCUGGAAUAUAUUGUGCGGAACCUUGUUCUUGCCAAGGGUGCUAUAACAGGCCUGAAUAUGAGGAUACGGUUCUAGAGACACGCCAACAAAUUGAAUCUCGCAAUCCUCUGGCAUUUGCUCCAAAGAUAGUACAGAACUUCAUUUAUCCAUCUUCAAGCAUUUGUGGGGUAUUGAGGCAUCGAAAUUUAUAAUUUUGCUGUACAACAGUGCAAUGUUAACUGAAUUAUUAAGUUGAAAUGUUCACAGGAAGAUGAGACUCAGUUAUCAAAGCCCUCCAUAAGGCACAAAAGAGGGUGCAAUUGCAAGAAGUCGAUGUGCCUCAAAAAGUACUGUGAGUGCUAUCAGGUACGUGGGUGUGCUUAUGGGCAUGAUUAUCUACGUUGUUUUUUCGUGGGGUUGGGGCUUAGAACCUCUGAGUCAUGCUAAGUACUACUUAAUUGCAUUUGCUCUUAUAAAAUGAGUUUUUUUACCUUAUGAUAGGCAAAAGUUGGUUGUUCUGAUGGAUGUCGAUGCGAAGGAUGUAAAAAUGACUAUGGCCAAAAGGGAGGUAUGAUUUGCAUUUGAAGUUCUGUUAUCACAUUGCAUGAGAUUCUACUUGUUAAUACUCAGGAGACUUGAGGAAUAGCUAUUAAUGUGUCUGAACAGGCAAAUAAGACUAUAAGAAUAUGAAUUGCUCUCUAUGGAAAUGACCUGGAGAUGCUCCCUAUAUAUCUAAGUAGAAAAAUAUGCUGCUUGCUUAGCAGGUUUAGCUUUGUUUGAACACUGUUAAAUCUGGACUAGUUUUCUUAUGUGUUUCUUAUUGCCUCUAUUUUAUUUUAUUUAUUUAUUUAUUUUUCAGUCUGUAUAAGGUUUUGAAUUUGGGGGUACCAAUGAGAGUAUAAUGACAAGUACGAAAAUAGAUAUUUUCUUGUACUCCAACAAAGUGAUAUAUAGCAAUUUUAAGUUAUUAUAAAGUAUAUCUCUGAACUUUUUGUGGUUUCAUUUCUAUUUGAACUGGAUGCUCCAUCUUUCAGAAUAUGGCAUGGAUAACGUCGUGGGCAUGCAAGGUUCUGAUGAAACAACAGAUGGCUCCUCUGUUGAAAAACUUGAAAUGGUGGGGUCUGGAAAUGCUUUGUAUCAUACUGAGCUAAGCAAUCCUCAUAAUUUGACUCCUCUGACACCAUCAUUCCAAUACUCAGAGUAAGAUUAGUUCUUUCUAGAUACAUUUCGAUUCCCAUGCACUUAAUUUCUGGUUAAAUGAUUAGCUAGGUACUUGAAAUUUGAAAUAGCUUUGUGGGCAAAUAUCUUUCCUUUUUCUCCUGAAAUUGUGCAGCCAGGGAAAAGGUGCAUCAAAAGCUUGGUUCUCUUCUGGAAAAUACUUCCAUUCACCAGAAUCUGGUCCCACCUUUGGGGCACCAUGCAUCACGUUCCCAAGGUCUCCUGGGAAUGUGUAUAAUUCUGAUAUGAUCUCAGAAUCUUCUAAAGAAAUUCUGGAUCUAGAUUCUUUUGAUCAUGAACUAGAUUACCACAAAGCAGAAGCGGUCAAUGACUUCUCAUUUGGGCACCAUGGACCUGGCAAUAAGGAGCUUCUUGCUGGUCCGCUAAAUGCAGGAGAAUCGGAAAACAAUUGGAAAGUUCAACCAUUUUCUGGAAGUGGACAUUUUUCUCCAGCAAGCUCCCUUCGUUGGCGUGGUUCACCGAUCACCCCUAUGGCUCAGUUUAGUGGGACUAAACUUCCUCAAGCUGCUGACUAUUAUGAUGGUUUACACAACAUUCUGGAAGAUGACACACCAGAGAUUCUGAAGGACACUCCUAACCCACUCAAUGCUGUGAAAGUAAGAUCUCCAAAUAAGAGGCAAGUUUCUCCCCCUCAUGAACAUUCGCUUGAGCUGGGUUCAACGUCAUCAGAAGGCCUGAGAAUUUCUCGCAAGUUCAUACUGCAAGCCGUUCCCUCAUUCCCACCUCUUACGCCUUGUGUUGAAUCUAAAAACGCUAGACAAAAAAAGACAUAAUCCGCAGAAUUGUAGCAACAACAGCAUAUGAGAUGAAGCAUAUGAGGUAAGUGUUGACAAUUACAUCGUGGGAGAAUGGAUGUUAUGCCCAGCAGGUUUUUUUGAGCAUGAUUUCACAAUGUUAUCCUGUUAUUUCACCAUUAGCACGUCUGUUUCUCUUCAGGACCUGCUCUAUACCCUCAAAUGGUUUUUCAUCCAUAUCAAUGAAAGCAACCUUUAGGUCACUAUAAUCUGCCAGGUAUAGGCAUUACUUGCAACAUGUUUGGUAGAAAGUAUUGGACAGCUUUAACAUGAUCAAGAAAGAAAAAGAUAAGAAACUAAAAUCAUUCAGGUUCAAUACUGCGGACUAAACAUGUACUUUGGAGCAUAAGCUCAAUUCAUCUUCUAAUCCUGCUUUUUAAAUGUCCUCAUUAGAAACCGAAGUUGCAACGCUUUUCGAGGCUCCAAAUACAAAAAUGAAAGAAAGCCUCAAGUAGAAUGGAAGAUUUCCAAAUGUACAGCAUCCUGUCCAACCCCCUUCAUGUUCAUACUUUCUAGAUGUUAAACAGAUGCUGCAUGCUGCUAUACUCUAUUGGUUAGGAAAAAAACAAGUCGGCCUUUUUGAUUUUCCAUGACGAUGAAUACCAUGUUCUGAGGGAAAGAGACUUGUAUUUUUUUGGCAUUUAAUUUCAAUGAGUACAUUCUCUAAUAAUAAAAUUUGAGCCUUGACUCAAGUCA
rnacentral:lncRNA from 1 species